UACGUAGGGGGCAAGCGUUGUCCGGAUUUAUUGGGCGUAAAGCGCGUGUAGGCGGCCAGAUAGGUCUGCUGUGAAAACUCGAGGCUCAACCUCGAGCUGUCGGCGGAAACCAUCUGGCUAGAGUCCGGAAGAGGAGAGUGGAAUUCCUGGUGUAGCGGUGAAAUGCGCAGAUAUCAGGAAGAACACCAACGGCGAAGGCAGCUCGCUGGGACGGAACUGACGCUAAGGCGCGAAAGCGUGGGGAGCGAACAGG
rnacentral:rRNA from 1 species